rnacentral:rRNA from 1 species
UACGUAGGGGGCUAGCGUUGUCCGGAUUUAUUGGGCGUAAAGAGCGUGUAGGCGGCCAGAUAGGUCUGCUGUGAAAACUCGAGGCUCAACCUCGAGAUGUCGGCGGAAACCAUUUGGCUAGAGUCCGGAAGAGGAAAGUGGAAUUCCUGGUGUAGCGGUGAAAUGCGCAGAUAUCAGGAGGAACACCGGUGGCGAAGGCGGGUCUCUGGGCAACAACUGACGCUGAGGAGCGAAAGCAUGGGGAGCGAACAGG